rnacentral:rRNA from 1 species
GAUGAACGCUGGCGGCGUGCCUAAUACAUGCAAGUCGAGCGAACGGACGAGAAGCUUGCUUCUCAGAUGUUAGCGGCGGACGGGUGAGUAACACGUGGAUAACCUACCUAUAAGACUGGGGUAACUUCGGGAAACCGGAGCUAAUACCGGAUAAUAUUUUGAACCGCAUGGUUCAAAAGUGAAAGACGGUCUUGCUGUCACUUAUAGAUGGAUCCGCGCUGCAUUAGCUAGUUGGUAAGGUAACGGCUUACCAAGGCAACGAUGCAUAGCCGACCUGAGAGGGUGAUCGGCCACACUGGAACUGAGACACGGUCCAGACUCCUACGGGAGGCAGCAGUAGGGAAUCUUCCGCAAUGGGCGAAAGCCUGACGGAGCAACGCCGCGUGAGUGAUGAAGGUCUUCGGAUCGUAAAACUCUGUUAUUAGGGAAGAACAUAUGUGUAAGUAACUGUGCACAUCUUGACGGUACCUAAUCAGAAAGCCACGGCUAACUACGUG